AGGAGAGGGUCUCUCCUCCAAGUGGCACGACUUGCUUCACUUACCAGACGACCUCAGUUUGACUCUGGUCCGUGGACGGAGAAGGACGAAUGCCUGGGUGAUCCGCAUAGUUCUAAUGCAAAAAAUGCCAUGGAUGCGAGCGGAAAUGUUCAGUGUGCCUGGAAGUGUGCUAAGGAGAACUACAAUAUCUCAAAGACAGUCAUGACGUACUCAAUAAACGUUGAAAACUA